GUUCUGGCCGGAAGCAGGCCAGAGUCAAGUAGACAGCUGAACAGGAAACUCGGACUAUGAUAAGGUAGAGAGUAAACCGGGGAAAGGGCGCGGGGGGGCCUGGAAGGGCCUCCUAAGGGGAUCCUGUUUCCACGGAGACCCUAACGAGGAGGGAGUAGAGGGAACGGCCUGUGCAACGGCCCGGGGAAAUAUACUUGCAGGUAAGUGAUACCUCCAAGAAGCAGCUCCUCCUUUGCCAUGGUUGGUCUGAGAAGCCGUUACAUGUGGAAACUGAGGCUGAGAGAGGUGAAGGGACUGGCUUAAGGUGACACAGCAAAAUGCUGGCAGAAGGACUGGGACUCAACAGAAGGGGACCGGGAAGCCCGAAGUUGUCACCUAGGGCAUCCAGUUCAUCACAUUUGUCUGACAGCUGUGUCUACUCUGCACCUCUUCAGGGCGCUACUCAGGGCCAGGUGCCCUUGUCUUCCACCUGAAGGACGCCAGCAGCCCCCAUUUCCAUUCUCCAUACGGCAGCCAGACUCUGCUCAAAACAACCUCCAGCCAAAGCCCUCAGUGGGUCAUUCCCUCUGGAUAAAAUAUGAACUCUACAAGUUGAGUGACCGUGGAUUAUCACCCAAUGAGCCCACUCGUCAGUUUAAAAGGGGACCUCAUCAGGACAGCAAGUGGAAGCCAGGACUGUCCAGGACACACCAGGAUGGAUGGGCACGCUACGCACAAGGCCCUGCACCCGGGGCUGGGACUAGGAUGGGACCAGUGAGGUGUCCGGGGCAUCCAGUUCAAGGAGGCUUUCACUCGGGCCCCAACUCUGCAUUUGCACAGCCUGCACCUGGGACACUGGCUGAACCUCUGCUGCUACACUGGUCCUUUUCAAGGCCCCGGAACACAACACGCCCUCCCUCUCCUCAGGGCCUUUGCCUGCGUUCCUGCUCUUCAGUGGUCAGAUCCAGCAUCACCCCGUCAGGGAAGCCUUCCCUGAUUUCCCCAGCCUGGUCAAAUUCGGCUAUCCUUUACUCUCAAAGUGCCAGAUGUUCCUCCUUCCAGCACUGACCACAUGGGAAGCACUUGACAUUAUUUCGUGUAUCCCAGGAUACAUGUUUACUUUGGGGAGCACAGAAAAUAUUGAUCCCAGAUUUGGAGUCACUGUAAAGUGUCAGUAGUGAGUGGAAGAGUUUGGGCUUCUAAGGUGGACGCACCCCUGAAGUGAGGUUUUCUGGGUUCAAGUCUUUUCAUUGCUCACUUGGCUUUGUGACUUCAGGUCAGCUCCACCAGGGCAGGUCCCCAUUGGUCCGUUCACUGUGGUACCCAUGUCCAGGACAGUGCCCGGAACAUGCGGUGCCAAUAAACAUGUGCUGACGGAAUUCACAAGUGGGGAUCGGCCGUCACGACUUCUUCACCAGGACCGACAGGAAGGGCCACGCCUCACCCAUUCCGAGUCUCUGGAGCAGGUGAGACAUGAGUUCACGGUCUCAGGUGACAGAGCCCUAUCCUGAGGCCACGGCUGGGGGGAGGGGGAUGGGCCUCACCCCCUAGGCUCCUACGCCCCCCAUUCCCACCCCAGUCAACCAGGAAACACCACAAGGCAGCCAAGGUUAGGUAGACUUGCUGCUUUGUUAUAAAUAUAUUAUGUACAUCCAAAACAUGACAUUAAAAUAUUACUCCGUGUUACAGAAAAGAUAUUAAGGCCUUCUAUUAUUUACAUUAAACAAGCAAGCACCUUUAAAAAAAAAA